GCCUCCGUGGCUUUAUCGGAAAAACACCCGACUAUGGUGCGGUAGGAUUCGGGUUCGAGCCCCGGGGAAGGCA